rnacentral:rRNA from 1 species
UUUAUGGAGAGUUUGAUCCUGGCUCAGGAUGAACGCUGACGGCGUGCCUAAUACAUGCAAGUCGAGCGAACGGACGAGAAGCUUGCUUCUCUGAUGUUAGCGGCGGACGGGUGAGUAACACGUGGAUAACCUACCUAUAAGACUGGGAUAACUUCGGGAAACCGGAGCUAAUACCGGAUAAUAUUUUGAACCGCAUGGUUCAAAAGUGAAAGACGGUCUUGCUGUCACUUAUAGAUGGAUCCGCGCUGCAUUAGCUAGUUGGUAAGGUAACGGCUUACCAAGGCAACGAUGCAUAGCCGACCUGAGAGGGUGAUCGGCCACACUGGAACUGAGACACGGUCCAGACUCCUACGGGAGGCAGCAGUAGGGAAUCUUCCGCAAUGGGCGAAAGCCUGACGGAGCAACGCCGCGUGAGUGAUGAAGGUCUUCGGAUCGUAAAACUCUGUUAUUAGGGAAGAACAUAUGUGUAAGUAACUGUGCACAUCUUGACGGUACCUAAUCAGAAAGCCACGGCUAACUACGUGCCAGCAGCCGCGGUAAUACGUAGGUGGCAAGCGUUAUCCGGAAUUAUUGGGCGUAAAGCGCGCGUAGGCGGUUUUUUAAGUCUGAUGUGAAAGCCCACGGCUCAACCGUGGAGGGUCAUUGGAAACUGGAAAACUUGAGUGCAGAAGAGGAAAGUGGAAUUCCAUGUGUAGCGGUGAAAUGCGCAGAGAUAUGGAGGAACACCAGUGGCGAAGGCGACUUUCUGGUCUGUAACUGACGCUGAUGUGCGAAAGCGUGGGGAUCAAACAGGAUUAGAUACCCUGGUAGUCCACGCCGUAAACGAUGAGUGCUAAGUGUUAGGGGGUUUCCGCCCCUUAGUGCUGCAGCUAACGCAUUAAGCACUCCGCCUGGGGAGUACGACCGCAAGGUUGAAACUCAAAGGAAUUGACGGGGACCCGCACAAGCGGUGGAGCAUGUGGUUUAAUUCGAAGCAACGCGAAGAACCUUACCAAAUCUUGACAUCCUUUGACAACUCUAGAGAUAGAGCCUUCCCCUUCGGGGGACAAAGUGACAGGUGGUGCAUGGUUGUCGUCAGCUCGUGUCGUGAGAUGUUGGGUUAAGUCCCGCAACGAGCGCAACCCUUAAGCUUAGUUGCCAUCAUUAAGUUGGGCACUCUAAGUUGACUGCCGGUGACAAACCGGAGGAAGGUGGGGAUGACGUCAAAUCAUCAUGCCCCUUAUGAUUUGGGCUACACACGUGCUACAAUGGACAAUACAAAGGGCAGCGAAACCGCGAGGUCAAGCAAAUCCCAUAAAGUUGUUCUCAGUUCGGAUUGUAGUCUGCAACUCGACUACAUGAAGCUGGAAUCGCUAGUAAUCGUAGAUCAGCAUGCUACGGUGAAUACGUUCCCGGGUCUUGUACACACCGCCCGUCACACCACGAGAGUUUGUAACACCCGAAGCCGGUGGAGUAACCUUUUAGGAGCUAGCCGUCGAAGGUGGGACAAAUGAUUGGGGUGAAGUCGUAACAAGGUAGCCGUAUCGGAAGGUGCGGCUGGAUCACCUCCUUUCU